CGUAGGUCAGGGGUUCGGACUUCAAUGGAGCUUUUGGAGGGUCACAAUUCAACCCAUAACAGGAGCCACACCAGGGGAGGAGGAGACCAGAGGCGAGCGGCAGUCACCGAGGCCAAGAGCACCAAGGAGCACAGGGCUGCGGACAGGGCUUUGGACGGGCAGCCUGGAGGCCUCUGCAGAAGCUGGCAGGAGCACCGUCAGAGGAGAUGUACUGUGGAGGCGCAGGGAAGAAUUCCAUGGAGAAGGGCAGCACAAGCUUGCUGGACUCUGCUGGCAUCUCUCGGACUUUCGUCAGUGACUCUGGGCCCCACUGCUGCUCUGUCAGACUCGCCACGGCAACACCAUCCCCCAGCUCUCCACUAA
rnacentral:lncRNA from 1 species